GACGAACGCUGGCGGCGUGCUUAACACAUGCAAGUCGAACGGAAAGGCCCUGCUUUUGUGGGGUGCUCGAGUGGCGAACGGGUGAGUAACACGUGAGUAACCUGCCCUUGACUUUGGGAUAACUUCAGGAAACUGGGGCUAAUACCGGAUAGGAGCUCCUGCUGCAUGGUGGGGGUUGGAAAGUUUCGGCGGUUUGGGAUGGACUCGCGGCUUAUCAGCUUGUUGGUGGGGUAGUGGCUUACCAAGGCUUUGACGGGUAGCCGGCCUGAGAGGGUGACCGGCCACAUUGGGACUGCGAUACGGCCCAGACUCCUACGGGAGGCAGCGGUGGGGAAUAUUGCACAAUGGGCGGAAGCCUGAUGCAGCAACGCCGCGUGCGGGAUGACGGCCUUCGGGUUGUAAACCGCUUUCGCCUGUGACGAAGCGUGAGUGACGGUAAUGGGUAAAGAAGCACCGGCUAACUACGUG
rnacentral:rRNA from 1 species